GAUGAAGAACGUAGUGAAAUGCGAUAAUUGAUGUGAAUUGCAGAAUUCCGUGAAUCAUCGAGUCUUUGAACGCACAUUGCGCCUCAUGGCAUUCCGUGAGGCAUGCCCAUCUCAGUGUUAGAAAAUAUUCUCAAAUUUUAGUUUUGUGCUAAAAUUUGGAUCAUGUCAAGGAAGCUAUUACUAUUAUUGUGAUCGCUCUUUGGAAAUUGAUAGGUCUUUGAGUUGCUACUCAUAGAACGUGAUGAAUCUUUCUUCGUUCUAUUGUAAUUCACUCUGGUAGUCCUAAAACUUGUAUGCCUGUGGCAUAUCUUGUAAUUUGACCUGAGAUUGGGUAGGGAUACCUGCUGAACUUAAGCAUAUCAAUAAGCCGGAGGA
rnacentral:misc_RNA from 1 species